AAUAGAUACCCAGGUAGUCCAUGCCGUAAACGAUGUCUACUAGCCGUUGGGGCCUUUGAGGCUUUAGUGGCGCAGCUAACGCGAUAAGUAGACCGCCUGGGGAGUACGGUCGCAAGACUAAAACUCAAAUGAAUUGACGGGGGCCCGCACAAGCGGUGGAGCAUGUGGUUUAAUUCGAUGCAACGCGAAGAACCUUACCUGGUCUUGACAUACAGAGAACUUUCCAGAGAUGGAUUGGUGCCUUCGGGAACUCUGAUACAGGUGCUGCAUGGCUGUCGUCAGCUCGUGUCGUGAGAUGUUGGGUUAAGUCCCGCAACGAGCGCAACCCUUUUCCUACUUGCCAUCGGGUCAUGCCGGGAACUUUAAGGAUACUGCCAGUGACAAACUGGAGGAAGGCGGGGCGACGUCAAGUCAUCAUGGCCCUUACGACCAGGGCUACACACGUGCUACAAUGGUCGGUACAAAGGGUUGCUACCUAGCGAUAGGAUGCUAAUCUCAAAAAGCCGAUCGUAGUCCGGA
rnacentral:rRNA from 1 species